rnacentral:rRNA from 1 species
AUUGAACGCUGGCGGCAUGCUUUACACAUGCAAGUCGGACGAGUGGCGAACGGGUGAGUAACAUAGCGGACCGUCCUGAGUAAUGGGGGAUAACUAAUCGAACGAUUAGCUAAUACCGCUUAUUAUUCGAGCGGCUGUUAUCCGAUUAGAUGGUUGGUGGGGUAAAGGCCUACCAAGGCCACGAUCAGCAGCGGGUCUGAGAGGAUGAUCGGCCACACUGGGACUGAGAGACGGCCCAGACUCCUACGGGAGGCAGCAGUAGGGAAUUUUGGGCAAUGGGCGCAAGCCUGAUCCAGCCAUGCCGCGUGUCUGAAGAAGGCCUUCGGAUUGUAAAGGACUUUUGUCAGUGAAGCGGUACCUAAAGAGUAAGCACCGGCUAACUACGUGCCAGCAGCCGCGGUAAUUC